CAAAAGUUUAUGCUCUAAGGAAAGCAGAAACCAAGGCUUGCAGAGAUCACAGUGAGAUUUUAUCAGGACCGGGCCUCAGGGAAAAGCUUCCUGAUACUUGAGACUCAUAAAAAGAGUCACCCCACCAUCGGCAGUCGAGUUCUUAUUGGCUUGCUAGAAAAUGGAAUACAGAUGAGUCUGCAGGGUCAGACACAGCUAAAUUGGAACAUGAGAAGAUGAACAACCACGUAUUGAAGAUUACAGAGUGACUAG
rnacentral:lncRNA from 1 species